GUGUGAUCCCUCGUUUGAUGUAAU
rnacentral:siRNA from 1 species